rnacentral:tRNA from 1 species
CGGAGUGUAGUUCAGCCUGGUAGAAUGCUUGCAUGGGGUGCAAGAGGUCGCUGGUUCGAUUCCAGUCACUCCGACCA